rnacentral:rRNA from 1 species
AGAGUUUGAUCCUGGCUCAGGACAAACGCUGGCGGCGUGCUUAACACAUGCAAGUCGAACAGUCUUCCUUCGGGAAGAUAGUGGCGGACGGGUGAGUAACACGUAGAUAACCUGCCCUUAUGUGGGGAAUAACCCCUCGAAAGAGGAGCUAAUACCGCAUGAGUUCUCUGUUGUUAGACAGAGAAGAAACCUCGGUUUAUACCUGGGGCAUGAGGAGGGGUCUGCGGCGGAUUAGCUAGUUGGUGGAGGUAACGGCUCCCCAAGGCAACGAUCCGUAGCUGGUCUGAGAGGACGGCCAGCCACACUGGGACUGAGACACGGCCCAGACUCCUACGGGAGGCAGCAGUGAGGAAUAUUCCACAAUGGGCGAAAGCCUGAUGGAGCGACGCCGCGUGAGGGAUGAAGCUUUUCGGAGUGUAAACCUCUUUUACAGGGGAUGAAACGUGGGGGUAACCCCACUAAGACAGUACCCUGUGAAUAAGCAUCGGCUAACUACGUGCCAGCAGCCGCGGUAAUACGUAGGAUGCAAGCGUUGUCCGGAUUUACUGGGCGUAAAGCGCGCGCAGGCGGCAUACCAAGUAUUCAGUGAAAUCUCCCUGCUCAACGGGGAGGGUGCUGAGUAGACUGGUAAGCUAGAGGACGGUAGAGGGGGGUAGAAUUGCUGGUGUAGCGGUGAAAUGCGUAGAGAUCAGCAGGAAUACCCGUGGCGAAGGCGGNCCCCUGGGCCGUUUCUGACGCUGAGGCGCGAAGGCUAGGGGAGCGAACGGGAUUAGAUACCCCAGUAGUCC